rnacentral:lncRNA from 9 species
CGGUGAGUUUCCUACAGCUGAAGGGCCAGGGAAGAGUCUGGGCUCAGUGCGAAACCGGUGAAAGUCGCCGGACCUGAGGCCGAGGUGAAUUCUCAGUCUCCGCACGUUUCCUAUGCCAAUGUCGGGGUGCUGAUAGGGAAGAAGGGGGGCCCCGAAACUUGGAAUGGGGAUAUCUGGGUCGAUGCAUUGAGCACCUGGAACCCUCUGUGCCUGCUGAGGGGGCCCAGGCCUCCACCCUCUGCCUGGAGAGGAAGAGGAACCCCAGGUGAGCUGCCUUACAAGACAACGUCUGGUCCCCGCAAAACCUGCUCCUUCUUCCCCUCGGGCCACCCUACCAAAUACUGGGGUCACAUCUCAGCAGGGCUCAACUAGGAAAGUACCUGGACUGCUUCAGGGAAGAAAGGAAUUCCUAAGCAAAGGAGCCGUGGGGUCUGGAUACCAUUCGUCCGCAGAAUCCACCUGGAGUGGAUCCUGAUGGCCGUGCGUCUGCAUGAGGAGAGGAAGAAACUGGAAAAGGGAGAGAUUAUCAGUAUGGGACACUCUUCCGUGACACAGGACCUCACACCCUUCCAUGGUCCCUCAAUCUGGUUAUAACACACUGCUGGCACAGCUAUGGAAGGAUGGAAAAAGCAAUGGCCUACAGUAGACGAAGCGGAGGUGCCUGAAAUGCCAUGGCACGCUGUGAAGGAAGGAAUCAGAAGGGCAUAGAAUGGCGUGCCUGUGUGGUUCCAUGAUCUCACAGAGCCAGCUGUACUUCCUGUGGUGGCUCAGUGGUAACGAACCCGACUCAUAUCCAUGAGUACACAGGUUCGAUCUCUGAUCUGGGAACUUCCAAAUGCCACAGGUAUGAACCUAAAAAAAAACAACCCCCCCACCAGCUGACCAAGGAUCUUGGGGCGCCUGGAGGAAAUGCCAUUCACCGAGGCAAUAAGACAUGCACAGUUGAGGGGACACAGCAGCAUCUUCGAGAAGCUUCGGAGUGACUGUUUUCUGGUCCGUUGCGUUCUGGGACACACCCAAAGGAGAAGUGGACACUGGAAGCCCAGACACGGAGCACAGAGACCUGCUAUCACCAGAAAGUUCAAAAUCCAAUUAUUUGAAGAGCAAUAAUAAAUGUGUCAUGGUCUGAGGCUAUUGUCCCACGUGGUUACACCCAUUUCCCCCCCCCCCCCAGUACAGCUUAUGACUUUCUGAGAAUAGCUCGGACCGGUGACUAAGCCUAACAAACCGUGUUCAAGAACUCUGCAAGGGUGGACAUCUAUAGUGCAGAACCCUGAGCUGGGGAUGGCUGUGAUUGCCAAAUUCCUACCAAACAGCCCCUCAGUGGGAAGGGACCUUCCGCCCAGUUCCCUGGAGUGAGAGGAAAACGGGAGGGGGAUUAACUGCCCCAGCCCUUCCUACUCUCCGGCACAGGGGCCCAGGGGAAGUCCCCAUGUGGGUUCCCAAGUGCUUGUCUGCCAGGUCUUCAGCUUGUGCUGGAAAGAAGAGCAUCACAGGGUGCCAAGAGCAUCUGCCUCCCACAGGAUCUGCAGGAAGUAGAAAAAUGGGUGGUGGAGGGUCUUCUUUUUUGUUUGGAUGGUGAGUUUAUGUGCCAUGAACCAAGGAUGGGGAAUAAUCCAGUGGGCACCUCAAGACCAGCUGGAGAAAAAAAACAAAAACAAAAACAAACAACGGCCUCAAAGUAGAAGAAAAAAGAUGAAGAGAGAAAUAGUAAACUAAAAACAGGUCAAAAUAAAUAAUACAAAAAUUAAAAAAUUAAACA